GAUGAACGCUGGCGGCGUGCCUAAUACAUGCAAGUCGAGCGAACAGAUAAGGAGCUUGCUCCUUUGACGUUAGCGGCGGACGGGUGAGUAACACGUGGGUAACCUACCUAUAAGACUGGGAUAACUUCGGGAAACCAGAGCUAAUACCGGAUAACAUUUGGAACCGCAUGGUUCUAAAGUGAAAGAUGGUUUUGCUAUCACUUAUAGAUGGACCCGCGCCGUAUUAGCUAGUUGGUAAGGUAACGGCUUACCAAGGCGACGAUACGUAGCCGACCUGAGAGGGUGAUCGGCCACACUGGAACUGAGACACGGUCCAGACUCCUACGGGAGGCAGCAGUAGGGAAUCUUCCGCAAUGGGCGAAAGCCUGACGGAGCAACGCCGCGUGAGUGAUGAAGGGUUUCGGCUCGUAAAACUCUGUUAUUAGGGAAGAACAAAUGUGUAAGUAACUGUGCACGUCCUGACGGUACCUAAUCAGAAAGCCACGGCUAACUACGUG
rnacentral:rRNA from 1 species